rnacentral:tRNA from 1 species
GCCUGGGUGGUUCAGUUGGUUAAGCAUCUGACUUCGGCUCAGGUCAUGAUCUCACAGUUUGUGGGUUUGAGCCCCACAUCAGGUU